AAGAUUGGGGCAGAGGGUUGUAAAGAUCUAUUUGAUUGGUUAUCUAAGCAUCUUUCAAAGAUCAAUGAUUUGCCUGAUGCUAUAGACCUAUUAAAGCCUAUGGCUUCUGCUCUCACACUAAUUUCUUAAUUUGUUUAUAUGUUGGUGAGUUUCUGUCUGAAUAAUAAACAUUUAAGUGUAAUCACUUUUCAUUUUCUUCUUGUCUAGGAUAAAUCAGCAGAAGUUUGAAGGCUGCCGAAGCUUUUAUUGGAGAAAUCUUGAGGGUCUGCAGCCCAGAUGCUGAAAAUAAGAGUCAGAGAAAGAUACGUGGGCCAGCAUUGGACCUUGUACUUGAAUGGACCUUCUGGUCUGGUGCAUGGAUCUUUAGACGGCCCAAAAGUGAUAUCAUCUAGUCUGGCAUCUAAAUGAAUCUCAAAGAUCGGAAAACCGAUUAAAUUGUGGCAUAGGAGCUAAGCAUGGAAAUAAGGCUCUAUCUUCGAAGGGUGUGCCAGUUAGAGCUUCAAAAUCCAACUCUGUUUUUUCUUUUCAAGAUUUGCUGUGCAGUCGCAGGCUUAUUUAACUUCAAGGGUUCCAACAAAGAAGAUAGGGAAAGAGUUGUCACAUGGAGGCUCAAAUUUAAUGGAGUAUGCCCUGAACAAGUUAAAGAUUUGGAGUAGAAGAUAUUUGGAGAUAUGUUGGAAAGCUAAAAGACACUCAGAAAAGUAUGCUUUAUGACAGAUUCAAAUGGAAGG